rnacentral:rRNA from 1 species
GAUGAACGCUGGCGGCGUGCUUAACACAUGCAAGUCGAACGGGAAACCUUUUAUUGAAGCUUCGGCAGAUUUAGCUGGUUUCUAGUGGCGGACGGGUGAGUAACGCGUGGGUAACCUGCCCUAUACAGGGGGAUACAACCAGAAAUGGUUGCUAAUACCGCAUAAGCGCACAGGGCCGCAUGGUCCGGUGUGAAAAACUCCGGUGGUAUAGGAUGGACCCGCGUUGGAUUAGCCAGUUGGCAGGGUAACGGCCUACCAAAGCGACGAUCCAUAGCCGGCCUGAGAGGGUGAACGGCCACAUUGGGACUGAGACACGGCCCAGACUCCUACGGGAGGCAGCAGUGGGGAAUAUUGCACAAUGGGGGAAACCCUGAUGCAGCGACGCCGCGUAAAGGAAGAAGUAUCUCGGUAUGUAAACUUCUAUCAGAAGGGAAGAUAGUGACGGUACCUGACUAAGAAGCCCCGGCUAACUACGUG